CCACGAAGGAAGACAGGAACAAGGCGUGACUACAUUGAAGAAAAGGGCAAGGUUGGUUCUCCUUGAGUUAGUAACUAAAAUCCCAAGUUGUCUUCUUGAAAGUUUAAGGUUGUGAGAAUAGCCUUAGCGUUCUUUCAUCUCGAGAGGCCUUAUUCCAUGAGAUCCCUCUACAUCUUAGGGCGCUGCCCUGUUCAUGUGAGGAGUGAAAAAAAAAGGUGUGUUUUAUAUAUUAAAGCUUGGAAAAGAAUCUCUAAGUGUUGUGGAGCAAAACUAAGGUUUGUGCCUAGAGAUUCUGAGUUUGUGGAUCAAGCAUUGGAGGGAGAUACAUAGCUUUCUUGUGAUACAAGAAAGCCUUUGUGUAAGCUUCAAGAGGUGAGCAGACCGUUGAUGAGCCCUCUAGGGCCAAGGAUGUUGUUCCGGGCUAGAGGAGCUGACAUAUUGGAUUAGAUAGUUUUUCUUUUUGGAGACUUUGUGUAUAUUCAUUUUUGGGUAAUUGUGUAUGACCAAUGUUUUGUAUAUGGCCUGUACAUGUUGUGAGAGAUUGUUUAUUCAUGAUGUAUGUACAAUUGAUAUCUCCGGCAUUGAUACAUGUAUUUAUUCAGUUAGAUGCAUGUGUUCGUAAAAUGUAUAUGAAAUGAUCUGUCAAGAUGAUAGAAUGUGUUGUGACACUGAGCCAAUAGUGUUUGAGCCCAUGGAUGGGUCUUAAGUCCUUGUAUGGACUAUAUGUAUAUGUAUAAUCUGUAUUGGACUGUUCUGAG